ACGCAUCACUGGUGUUCGGGUUGUCAUGCCAAUGGCAUUGCCCGGUAGCUAAAUGCGGAAGAGAUAAGUGCUGAAAGCAUCUAAGCACGAAACUUGCCCCGAGAUGAGUUCUCCCUGACUCCUUGAGAGUCCUGAAGGAACGUUGAAGACGACGACGUUGAUAGGCCGGGUGUGUAAGCGCAGCGAUGCGUUGAGCUAACCGGUACUAAUGAACCGUGAGGCUUAACCUUACAACGCCGAAG
rnacentral:rRNA from 1 species